CUCCUAGCAACCGGGUAACAUCUGCUCCCUCUGGUCCAAUGCGAGCUGAGAACAGCUGCGCUCGCGCCUAGCGUUCCGAACCAGAGCAAGAGGCGCUUCAGACCGGAGGGACCGACCUGCAGCAGCCUGGGCUCCCGGCAGUGCUGCAGUUACCGCCGCCGCUGCUGCUGCCGCCGCUGCUGCUGUCGCGCUGCCGCCACCACCGGCCGCUGUCGCUCUCAGCGCCCUGUCUAAAGAGUGACAGCGACGCAAAAGCGGGAGGGAGCACUGAACCCCGCGCCUUUAUGAAACAAGUGCAUGCGCCUAUCUCCUAGUGAAUGGACCCAGCUCGCAAGGUAGCCAUUCAUUCCUGAGCUGGAGGCUGUGAGAAAUGCUCGCUGUGCACAGGGGAACUCUCACCAGAUUUUCUGAAGCUGUCCUAGAAAUACACUUUUCAGAUUGAUUCAGCAUUACCAGCUUAUCCAACAAGAGUAUUAACAUACACAUUAACAACGUCGAAAGUAGCUUACUUUAAGAGAAAAUAUGCAGAAGAAGAAGAUUUACAUCAAGAUUGCCAUGGGUAUUUUCCAAAACACCUGAUAUUGCCCGAGGACAGGACUUGCAUUCUCAAACUGUCUCUGGAGAAGCUCAGGUUUCUUGAAGACCCAGAAACCUACUUGAGAAGGUCUGUGUUAAUUAACAAUUUGCUGAGGAAGAUCCACCUAGAGACGGAGAAGGAGAGCUAUGAAUACUUUAAAGAAGCUCCCUGUUAUAAGACGGCUUAUUCUGAUACAAGAAAACGGCUGAAGUUUAUGGUACAGGAAUGCUGUUCUCAGUCUCUCUAUUACGAAGAGCUGCAUUCGUAUCAUAUUGUGCCUUAUGCUUCGGAAAAUGCCAUUUAUGGAAUGGGCUACACUAGCAGCCACUUGGAGCAAAAUUCUCAGUUGCUUAUUUAUAAAAUGAAUUAAAGUAACUGUUAAGUCCAUUGAUACUUUGUUUCUAAAUGCCUGAACUGUUUAUUGUGAAGAUGUUAACAUAGGCACUGUUUAUCAGUGCACUUGAGAUCAAAGAUGAGAUGCAUGCUACACUGAUUGGAGAGAACUCUGGUUAUUACUCAGCAGUCCUUAGCACUACCAAGUCAAAUUAGAAAUAUGUCUACCUACUAUAAAGUGGCAAGUAAGUGCUUUAGAAGUCAGAUUUUUUUAAAGCUAUGGUACGUAGAAAGAGACCUAUAUCGACAUCUUACACAGAUUUAAACAUUUUAAGCCCCUAUUUUCAAAUUUUGCCACUCUUAGUGGAAGGUAACAAAAAGGAGCAGAUUAAACUGAAAUAGUCUUGUCUCUGAGGCUUAAGGGUGGAACAAACUUACAGUAACUUUCUGGACGUGAGGAGGAGAGUAGGUUCUUGCUGAAAAGCUUUGGCUUGUCAAGCGUAGUGCCAAAUAAUUGUUUGACGCCAUUCUCCUGUGGGCAUUAGUGGCAAUUCGAGGUGGAGCAGACAUACUGCGACCCAACUGCUGAAUGGAGCAACCAGACUACUCCAAACUGACCCGUUUUCCAUUUUGCUAUUUUUUUGUCUUGAUAGACUUUUCUCUUUAAGGGUGAAAUUUCAUAAAAUAGCCUUGUGGAUGGGCUUAUCUCUAAGUUUUAGGGGUGGUUAAAAAUGUGGUGGGUCUUUAGUUAAGCGUUUAAAUUUUAUUUAUGAUGUCAUUUUGUACAGGCUGUGAAGUUCAGGAAAAGAGUAGGCAGGUACACUUUGUUUUUAAUAGGUUUAUAAUUUUUAAAAAAGCUUAUCUGCAAAAAUUGAGGAGGACAACAGAAAUUCCACAUGGUGUUAUUUCUUCAUCUAGAUUGCACAUAUGGCUGCCUGGAUGACACUUUGCACUGGUUUGUGUACCAUUGUCGACCACUCGCUAUUUGACAAAAUGUUCCAAAAUGCCUUUGGUGGCAAAGUUUAGACAAGCCCCUAUAUUUUGCAACUUGAAAGCUAAUUAUUUAACAAGUUGGGUAGAUUUCUGAAAUUGUUCAAAGUGGUUCGUAUUUUUCUUUGAGGUUCGAUUGAGAUGUCUGAUUUCAAUGUCUGGAGUUAUGUUCUAUGAAACCUUUCAUUGAAAUAAUUGUCACUCACUGAUAAAACGGAUUGAGAAAACUAGGUGCCAAAGGUAUAUUCAAGAAAAUACCAAAGACCCAAAGAGGAGUGUUGGAUAGACUGUGAGAGUCAAGAAUCUAAAAUGAGGUUAGUACAGGACGUAGAAGCACCUUGUGGAAGGGUUUUGGGAUGAUCAGCUGGCUGUGGUGCUUUCAGAGCACUUGGUACGUGACAACGAUCAUCAGAGACACUGCUUUAAAUCAAGACACGACAGGCCUUGGGUGAUCAUGUGUUUUGGCAAAUUUAAAUAUGGUGAUUUGUCAGCCUUGUAUCUUGCCUAGUUCAAAGCCAUCUUAUAACCAAGAAGGCCUUUUUCUCUUCAAGAGAAUUUUGUUUUUUGUUUUUAUUCACUACUUGCUCACUUUAAUGAAUCAGGGGUGAUUAACAUGCUUGCUUUCGGCAGGAAGAACGUGGGCACCCUAAUCAGCAUGCAUUGUUGAAGACAACACAGAUCUAGAACUGAUAACAGUAUCAGGUUUCUAUUUAAUUGCUCAAUCAAAAUUAGGGAAAAUGCUUUAGGACAAACCAAAAAAUUAUAGGUUUGUAUUUAAAGACAAUUUGGUAUGAACAGUAUGAACAAUAUGAAAAGUGAGACAGGUUUGAAAUACAAAUAUAAAUACUUCAAAAUUAAUUUAAGGGAAAAGAUUUGGCAACAAAAUUAAAAAAAUUUAUUUCACUGCUUAUAAAAUACCUUGUUUCUCAGAAUAGUUCUUUUAAAAUGUAGGUUUUUAAAACAGUGGAAACACUAAUUGAAGAGAUUCUGAAUUUGAUAGGAUAAUUAUACUAUCAUAUAAUUAAAAAAUACAAUUAGCACUCCAAUAGUUAAAGUUUUUUAGUGAAAAGAACAUUUGGCUUGGUUUAGGACAGUGUCCAUAGGAAAAACACACCACUGCUAAUAGAUGUGACUUACAAAAAUGUCACAUAUUAAAAUUGUUUGAGGAGAGAAGUGCACAUGCUUUGGAGUAUAAAAGAGAGAGAGAGAAAAAUUACGAAGGAAGCAUGAAAUUGUAAUAUUUAUUGUAUGCCAGAGAUCUUAAGUGAAGUGAGGACUCUUGGUCAAUGAACCAGUAGAAGAUGUGAACUCUGUUUUGUUUGGCGACAUCGUCAGCCCAGCUUGCUGAUCUAUAUAUUCAUAAGUAGAGAAGGAACUGUCUUAGAAAUUAACAGUAUUUGUGAAUAUGCCUUCUUUAAAAUAUGUGCUGAUUUCAAAAUAAGUUAUUUAAAAAAUAUCUUUUAGAACAUCUAAUUUCUUUUCCAAUAAACAAUUCAUAGAUGAGUUGACUAAUGUUAUCUUGACUUUUAAAAAAAUAAUAAUUUGUAUUUCAACGAUGUAACUUUCUGAAUUAACCAUUAAAACUGCUGUCAUUUACCAUAAACUGACACAGAGGGAGACCCUGCACACACGGGCCCUGCUGACCCUGCCCUACACGCUGCAUUGUGGGAGAGGUGAAAGGCGGCAGACAAGUUACAACAUUUUUGAACCUGGACAUCCUUUCUCUGGUGACAAGAACCACUCUUAGAGUAAGAAAGACAGGAUGGGAAAUCUGAGUGGCAUUGGUAAUGUUGAUCCUUCUUGUGGGUACCCAAACAGCCUAAAGACCUAGUAAAAAAGAAGACAUUUUUUAAAAGGGAAGAGGAAAAAAAUAAAAGAGAUGAGGAAGGGGAAAAGAGGGCAGAGAAAUAAGGAACAGGUUUAGUAAGUGAAAGAGAAAGCUGUUGCAUGUGGGGAGGGGUUCCUUGCCUACUAUACUCAACUCUUGUCCAUUAUACACCUAAAACCUGAUAUCCAGGUGGAUAUCAGGAUCCUGUGAAACAAUCAUUUUCACGAUCCUUUCUUUCCUUCACAGAUGAUGCAUACGGUUAGAUUCUGUUCAGUAAAUGUAUCAUUUGAAAUGUGGUAUUACUGUGAAACAUCCCUGACACUGAGAUCCCGAGUAGAUGAGAAAAGGAAAAAUGGAAAUUAAGUUGGGGGAAAGACUAAAUGACGAGCCACUGUAUACAUGGGUAAGCUCAAUGCAUGAUCAGAUUCCAAUGUACACCCCUAGAUUUAAUAAAUUCUAGAGCUAGAAGACUUGGAAAUAAGUGCAAUCCUCCACUAUUAACGGAGUAACUACUACGAGCCAGGAACUGUGCUAGGGUUGGGGGUACAGAGAUGAUUGUGCACAGUUUCUUUGCUUAAGCUGUUCACUGAUGAGAGAAGACCACAGCGAUGUUUGGCUUGAUUUAAAAGGUAAAAACUCUACCAGGAGCAGUACCUGCAUUUCUCUUUUCCAAACUGUGGGAUGGUUCUCAAAUGAACAUCUCCAAAGGCGUUUGUGGCUUGGUGAGGAGGGAAGGUCUACUAACUCAGAUCUUAGAGAAGGAAUGUACGUUCUGCUUUGCAGCCUAUUUUAUCCUUGGAGGCGUAGUAGGAAACCACUGUUCAAGUGGGAAAGCAUGGCUGGCCUUAGCCCAUCCCUAGCACACAAGAGGUCAUAGGGAGGUAGGGAGACAAAUGUGAAUACAGAACAAUUCUUUCUCUUCUGACUUCUGUGGCUUUCGUUUUUUUAAACAAGGGAAGUCAGAUUGAUAUUAAUGUCAAGGAGAUUCUUGACAGAGAGGCACAAUUGGGAAAUUACAGCCCGAGAAUUGCAUAUACUGUGUUCAAGGUUAAAAGGCCAGCAUUCUUUAAUGUGCCUUGUGCUGGUGAAUAGCUUAAAUGAACCCCAAGCUGUCUCAACACCUGCUGCUAGAGCCAUCCUCCGUUCUACUGCUGGCUUCCUCUCUGAAUCACAGCCCGACCUCCAGACUUUGCUGUAAGUGGAAGUUACGGUUCUAAUCCUUCACUCUCUCCCCUGCUCCACAGCAUCACUACUGAUUUGCUCUGAGACACUUGUAGGAGAGCAACAGUUUGCUGUGCUGGUGGAACUCCUUUGGACAAGGGUCUCCAGAGUGCAUCAAACUAGAAUUCAUCAGUUUCUUGAUACAAUUCCUUUUAAAACUAUUGUGCUUAGCCAUUAAAUAAUUGUCUGUUAAGGUAAUCUUAUGUUUCUGGAGUUUGAUGUAUUAGUUACCAUUGUGUAUGCUUUGCUAAAGAAAAACAACUUCAGGUUGGAAAUAAUGGAAGAGUAUGUGUAAUUAAUUCAAACAGAGUGUGGAUAUUAUGUAGUACAUGGCAUUCGGACUUAAAUUUUCCCAUUCUCAAACUUCAGUACUAUACAUCGGCAUGUGACAUGUUUCAGGUUUUCUGUUUCUUUAUUAAGUGGGACCAUGCCCGAAAGUUGUUUCAUUUAGAGUUGAACAUUUUGAGCAAAAUCUCCCCAUUAAAGUAGUUCCAGCUGCUCCCAAGGGUAACUUAUGGCUGGGUAGAAGGACAUUCCUGUGCAUUAGCCCUUCUCAAGUCUUUUGUGCAUAGAAAUCAUGGAGAUCUUGUUAAAGUACAGAAUCUGUUCAGCAGGUCCAGGGUGGGGCCCCAGAGUCUGCAUUUCUCAUUCCCUCCGGGACGCGAGUGCUGCUGGCGCACUGGCCACACUUUGAGGAGUGAGGCCACGCAUUACUGCGAGGGCCCACAUAGACACUCAAGCCUACACUCUUACUGUUUUCAAAGAGUAUGUAUUCAUGUCCACUUUCUAUAAAGAAAUUCAAAGGAAAAAGUAAAUAUCAUCAACCAGUUUUUGAAAUUGGCCACAAAUAUGAGAAUAUUUUAUAUAGACAAACACAUAGAAGGCUAUUUUCCUUAUAGAAUUUAUGUACAUCAAGGAGCCAAAAAAGGAACAUGGAUAUAAUCAUGUAUUGUUCUCAUGAGUCAAGAAAUGACACAUGGUAAAUUUCUCUUCUUGAUUUCCCCCUGGAUUGUACCCAUUUAAGGAAGCGCCAUUUAGUAACACUAGGGCAAAGAUGAAAUGUUCACAGUUAACAGGAAUUCGGCACUUUUUUUCCUUGGCCAACCCUGAGAAAAAUCUUAUAAAAGCAUUCUCUAUUAAACUCAGAUGUAUGGGUGACUGCACAGCCUGAAGAAUUUGGUAACUCUGAGCUGAAAAAUGGCAUCUGGAUCUUCAACUGCUUGCUUUGAACUCUUUCUUGAGGGGACCUUCCCCUUUAUUCCACGAGGGACCCCUCCCCCCCUUGCUAUGGACACCCUGUUUCCCUUUAGUCGUCAGCAUCCGAGUGAGGGGCAGCGCGUCGGUGUAAAUGAGAGUGUUGCAAAUAUUGUCUAAUUUGAGCAUGCCAAGUGAUUUUUGUCAGGCUGUCCUCUGGUCAUAAAUUGUUGGUAUAGCUAUGUGAACUAUAGUGUCAUAAAUUUGUCAUAGACCAUUAACAAAGGGAGAAAAGAAGAAAUUUAGUUCUGUGAAAAUGCACUCAAAUACCAAGCAGAUGGUGUUCUACAA